rnacentral:lncRNA from 1 species
CGGAUUCAUUAUUAUUACUAAUCAAUUGAAAACAACUUAAACAUGUUCUGCAAAUAUUACAAAUUAAACCUAAAAAUGAAUUAAAAAACAAAAGAAAAUCGUGACCCUCCUCCUCCUUUUCUCUUCACUGCCGUUCUCUCUUUCCCCUCACCUUUCUUGAUCCAGUUGCAGCAAAUCUGCACUCCCUCCCUCCCCUUAUCUUCAUCCACUGCCCAGCAAAUCUGCACUCUCAAAUCUGCACUUUCUCAGUUGCAACAUCUUUCUCUCUCGUCUCAGCCCAGCCGUUGCUGCUCCGUCUUUGCUCUCCCGGAUCUGUCACUUGCCCAGCCGCCAUCUCGCUGCAACCACUGCUGCUCCAUCCAACUAGCUUGACUGUUUUUGCUCUCUCAGCUCCAUCUUUGUUAUGUGAGUUGCUGAUUGGGUUUUAAUUUGAUUGCGUACAAUAAUUAUUUUCUAAGGCUUGCGUACAAUCGAAUUUGGCAUUCAUUGGGUUUUAAUUUGCUUGGGAAUCUUUGUUAUGUGAGUUGCUGAUUGGGUUUUGAGUUUGAUUAAUGGAUUAAAAUACAAUAGAUUUGUUAGUGUUAAUACAUUGAUAAUUUGAACGUGUAAUGUAAUUUUCCUGCUAGUGCUGAUGAUUAUUGUUUUUUUUUUCUUUUGGCAGAGCAAAUAUUGUUUCUGGAAAGCAGUUAAACUGCUUUCUAAUUCCGUGUCUAAUGUGUUUUCAGAAUGAAUAUUCAAAAAAAAAAAAUUGACACUUAUUUCACAAAAAGUUGUUCCAAGAAGAUGUGUAAUUGGAUUUACAUUUAUUGCUGUGUUUGGGAGCAUGGAAUCAGAACCUUGGAAUUGGAAAUUGAAACUGCAAAUGCUAUAUAAAAUAAUUUUGCACGAGCAAGCUUCAUGUUAAAUUGCACUAACUCUAGUUCAUACCAUGCAUGCUUUCAGUUUAUUAUAGCUGGAAUACACAUGCUGAUCUUUAUGGUAUGUUUAUCGCAUUACAAAUUUAGUUAAAGUACCUUUGAGAUAAAGAGUUUUUGUGUUAAUGUUAAAUGAGAAAAUGCAUAGAUUUGAUUAUAACAAAUCUGUUGUAUUAUAAUCCAUUAAUCAAAUUAUCAACGUAUGCAUAAUUAUAGUUUACAUAAGCAACGUCUCAUUCCAAUUGCAUGUUGCACUUUACAUAAUUUUAUUCGACAAGAAAAUGCAAGUGAUACGUUAUUUGGGGACUUUGAUGUGCAAGAUUUGGUUAUCAACGAAUGAGACACUAGUAGGCCACUUACUAAUAUUGAUUUAUCUCCAGCAAGUGUCGCAGAGAUGAAUGCUACAAGAGAUGAAAUUGCAGCUUCUAUGUGGCAUGAUUACAUACGUAAUGCAUAAUGUCUAUCAUGUAAUUUUUUUAUAAUUAUUUUGUUUAAAUCAUGUGUUGUAAUAUAUAUCUUAUUUAUGGUAUAAAAACAAUGACAAUGUCAAACUUUUUUUUAAUUAAUGUUAAUUCUAAAACUUUAUCAUCAUGUAAUUUUUUAAUAAUAAAUUUGUUUAAAUUAUUUUGUUGUAUUUGUGUAUGUAUUAGCUAAAUAAUUAUUUUAUGACUAUAAAUAUAAUGUAAAUGCUUAGUAAAAAUUAUUUUUGAAAAAAGCAUUACCAAACACAUAUUUUCUGUUUUAUCAUUUUCAACUGUGUCUACCAAACGCAUAUUAUUGUUUUUAAUUUUAAAAUAUAGGAUACAGAAAAUGAUACCAAACGCAUAUUUAAAUUCGAAAUACAGCAACUGCAAAACACAAUUUUUAUUUUUAUUUUUAUUCUCAAAAAAUAUAAAUUCAGAAACAAUACCAAACGAGCCCUAAGCUUCCUAACAUGUUGCUUCUCUCCGUUUCUCUCUAGAGAUUAUAAUAUCUAAAAUGGGAUUCGCAGGGUUCAAGGAUUUAAAUUUUGAUCAUUCUCGGUGUCUUAACCGUAGAGAAGGCUGUCAAGGUUAUGAUGUAUUUAAUUGUACUGACAUUUUCUUUUUCAAAUGGCACGACGUAGGAUUUGAGUCGUCAUCUUAUCAAUUUUUCAAUUUUCUCCUAGGAUUUUUUUUUCUUUCUAUUUCUUUUUCCUAAAAUUGAAACGAAUUUGUGGCUCCCUCUCAUCAGAGUCCUGUCAGCUUUAAUUUAGUUGUAAAAGUUAUAUUUGUAGUCGAACACAUGCAAUUAGCACAACAGUGCUGUCAUUCAACUUACUUUUCCUGAAACAUGCAGCUUCAGUCAUUUUCUCAGGAUCUUCUGCAGGUUUGGGAUUAUAAUGGCUUAGGUUAAGGUCGAGGGUAAGCAGACUCCUAUUCAAAGAGUAAAUAUUGUUCGUUCAAUCAUUUUGUUACGGAUUGAGGCACUCAUCUUGAACUGGUGAUUCAGGUGUGUAGUGGAGAACAAGGUGCUCCAUAGCUCUCUGUUGUCACAUAUGCAGGUAUUCUCCUUACAGAACUAUUAACUCCGUACUCGAGGAAUACUCAAAGUUGCUGAAAUAACUAAUCUCUUAGUGGUUUCUUUGUUUGAUCACAAUUUGUUUACACACAAUUUUCCGUAGACAUGCAUGGCGAUGUGCACAAAAAUACCUGCGUAUAUUUGUAUGCAAGACUCUCGUAACCAUGUGGUAUAGUUUUGAGUCCUUGCUGAAAAACCUACUUUCAGAAAAUGUGCUUCUUUCCUUUUUAAAAUUUUCCUUACUAAUGAAAAUCUGCAGAAAUUAAGCAUUGUGCAGAUAACCGCGAGAGUGCAAUUAAUAAUUCGAUUAUCUGCAGAAAGCCCGUAAAGCUGCCUUUCCUCGCGUACAGGAGUGGACUAAAAUGUCCAUUAAUACUAUUUGUGGGCAAAAAUUUACAGAAGUGGACUUUCAAAGUUGAACAAAACUCGAACCACG